rnacentral:rRNA from 1 species
ACGGAAGGCAGCAGUGGGGAAUAUUGCACAAUGGGCGCAAGCCUGAUGCAGCGACGCCGCGUGAGGGACGACGGCCUUCGGGUUGUAAACCUCUUUCAGCACAGACGAAGCGCAAGUGACGGUAUGUGCAGAAGAAGGACCGGCCAACUACGUGCCAGCAGCCGCGGUAAUACGUAGGGUCCGAGCGUUGUCCGGAAUUACUGGGCGUAAAGAGCUCGUAGGUGGUUUGUCGCGUUGUUCGUGAAAACUCACAGCUCAACUGUGGGCGUGCGGGCGAUACGGGCAGACUAGAGUACUGCAGGGGAGACUGGAAUUCCUGGUGUAGCGGUGGAAUGCGCAGAUAUCAGGAGGAACACCGGUGGCGAAGGCGGGUCUCUGGGCAGUAACUGACGCUGAGGAGCGAAAGCGUGGGGAGCGAACAGGAUUAGAUACCCUGGUA